GAAUGCUGACAUAAGUAACGAUAAAGCGGGUGAAAAGCCCGCUCGCCGGAAGACCAAGGGUUCCUGUCCAACGUUAAUCGGGGCAGGGUGAGUCGACCCCUAAGGCGAGGCCGAAAGGCGUAGUCGAUGGGAAACGGGUUAAUAUUCCCGUACUUGGUGUUACUGCGAAGGGGGGACGGAGAAGGCUAUGUUGGCCGGGCGACGGUUGUCCCGGUUUAAGCGUGUAGGUGUGUGUUCCAGGUAAAUCCGGUUCACUUUAACACUGAGGCGUGACGACGAGGCACUACGGUGCUGAAGCAACAAAUGCCCUGCUUCCAGGAAAAGCCUCUAAGCAUCAGGUAACAUCAAAUCGUACCCCAAACCGACACAGGUGGUCAGGUAGAGAAUACCAAGGCGCUUGAGAGAACUCGGGUGAAGGAACUAGGCAAAAUGGUGCCGUAACUUCGGGAGAAGGCACGCUGACACGUAGGUGAAGUGAUUUACUCAUGGAGCUGAAGUCAGUCGAAGAUACCAGCUGGCUGCAACUGUUUAUUAAAAACACAGCACUGUGCAAACACGAAAGUGGACGUAUACGGUGUGACGCCUGCCCGGUGCCGGAAGGUUAAUUGAUGGGGUCAGCGCAAGCGAAGCUCCUGAUCGAAGCCCCGGUAAACGGCGGCCGUAACUAUAACGGUCCUAAGGUAGCGAAAUUCCUUGUCGGGUAAGUUCCGACCUGCACGAAUGGCGUAAUGAUGGCCAGGCUGUCUCCACCCGAGACUCAGUGAAAUUGAACUCGCUGUGAAGAUGCAGUGUACCCGCGGCAAGACGGAAAGACCCCGUGAACCUUUACUAUAGCUUGACACUGAACAUUGAGCCUUGAUGUGUAGGAUAGGUGGGAGGCUUUGAAGUGUGGACGCCAGUCUGCAUGGAGCCGACCUUGAAAUACCACCCUUUAAUGUUUGAUGUUCUAACGUGGACCCGUUACCCGGGUUGCGGACAGUGUCUGGUGGGUAGUUUGACUGGGGCGGUCUCCUCCUAAAGAGUAACGGAGGAGCACGAAGGUUGGCUAAUCCUGGUCGGACAUCAGGAGGUUAGUGCAAUGGCAUAAGCCAGCUUGACUGCGAGCGUGACGGCGCGAGCAGGUGCGAAAGCAGGUCAUAGUGAUCCGGUGGUUCUGAAUGGAAGGGCCAUCGCUCAACGGAUAAAAGGUACUCCGGGGAUAACAGGCUGAUACCGCCCAAGAGUUCAUAUCGACGGCGGUGUUUGGCACCUCGAUGUCGGCUCAUCACAUCCUGGGGCUGAAGUAGGUCCCAAGGGUAUGGCUGUUCGCCAUUUAAAGUGGUACGCGAGCUGGGUUUAGAACGUCGUGAGACAGUUCGGUCCCUAUCUGCCGUGGGCGCUGGAGAACUGAGGGGGGCUGCUCCUAGUACGAGAGGACCGGAGUGGACGCAUCACUGGUGUUCGGGUUGUCAUGCCAAUGGCACUGCCCGGUAGCUAAAUGCGGAAGAGAUAAGUGCUGAAAGCAUCUAAGCACGAAACUUGCCCCGAGAUGAGUUCUCCCUGAGACUUAAAGUCUCCUGAAGGAACGUUGAAGACGACGACGUUGAUAGGCCGGGUGUGUAAGCGCAGCGAUGCGUUGAGCUAACCGGUACUAAUG
rnacentral:rRNA from 2 species